UACGUAGGUGGCAAGCGUUGUCCGGAUUUACUGGGCGUAAAGGGCGCGUAGGCGGCCACCGCAAGUCGACUGCGAAAUCUCCGGGCUUAACCCGGAAAGGUCAGCCGAUACUGCGGGGCUAGAGUGCAGAAGGGGCAACUGGAAUUCUCGGUGUAGCGGUGAAAUGCGUAGAUAUCGAGAGGAACACCUGCGGCGAAGGCGGGUUGCUGGGCUGAUACUGACGCUGAUGCGCGAAAGCCAGGGGAGCGAACGGG
rnacentral:rRNA from 1 species